rnacentral:rRNA from 1 species
GACGAACGCUGGCGGCGUGCUUAACACAUGCAAGUCGAACGAUGAAGCGGUGCUUGCACCGUGGAUUAGUGGCGAACGGGUGAGUAAUACGUGAGUGACCUACCUUUGACUCUGGGAUAAGCCUGGGAAACUGGGUCUAAUACCGGAUACGACCAAUCUCUGCAUGGGGUGUUGGUGGAAAGCGUUAUGGAGUGGUUUUAGAUGGGCUCACGGCCUAUCAGCUUGUUGGUGAGGUAAUGGCUUACCAAGGCGACGACGGGUAGCCGGCCUGAGAGGGUGACCGGCCACACUGGGACUGAGACACGGCCCAGACUCCUACGGGAGGCAGCAGUGGGGAAUAUUGCACAAUGGGCGCAAGCCUGAUGCAGCGACGCCGCGUGAGGGAUGACGGCCUUCGGGUUGUAAACCUCUGUUAGCAUCGAAGAAGCGA